rnacentral:rRNA from 1 species
GUGGGGAAUAUUGGACAAUGGGCGAAAGCCUGAUCCAGCCAUGCCGCGUGUGUGAAGAAGGUCUUCGGAUUGUAAAGCACUUUAAGUUGGGAGGAAGGGCAGUAAGUUAAUACCUUGCUGUUUUGACGUUACCAACAGAAUAAGCACCGGCUAACUUCGUGCCAGCAGCCGCGGUAAUACGAAGGGUGCAAGCGUUAAUCGGAAUUACUGGGCGUAAAGCGCGCGUAGGUGGUUCAGCAAGUUGGAGGUGAAAUCCCCGGGCUCAACCUGGGAACUGCCUCCAAAACUGCAUGACUAGAGUACGGUAGAGGGUAGUGGAAUUUCCUGUGUAGCGGUGAAAUGCGUAGAUAUAGGAAGGAACACCAGUGGCGAAGGCGACUACCUGGACUGAUACUGACACUGAGGUGCGAAAGCGUGGGGAGCAAACAGGAUUAGAAACCCUUGUAGUCC